rnacentral:rRNA from 1 species
UACGUAGGGGGCAAGCGUUGUCCGGAUUUAUUGGGCGUAAAGAGCGUGUAGGCGGCUUUACAGGUCCGUUGUGAAAACUCGAGGCUCAACCUCGAGACGCCGGUGGAAACCGUAAAGCUAGAGUCCGGAAGAGGAGAGUGGAAUUCCUGGUGUAGCGGUGAAAUGCGCAGAUAUCAGGAAGAACACCCAUGGCGAAGGCGGCUCUCUGGGACGGUACUGACGCUGAGACGCGAAAGCGUGGGGAGCGAACAGG